rnacentral:rRNA from 1 species
ACUGCUCAGUAACACGUAGUCAACAUGCCCAGAGGACGUGGAUAACCUCGGGAAACUGAGGAUAAACCGCGAUAGGUCAUAAUUACUGGAAUGUGUUAUGGCCCAAAUCUAUAUGGCCUCUGGAUUGGACUGCGGCCGAUCAGGCUGUUGGUGAGGUAAUGGCCCACCAAACCUUUUACCGGUACGGGCUCUGAGAGGAGGAGCCCGGAGAUGGGCACUGAGACAAGGGCCCAGGCCCUAUGGGGCGCAGCAGGCGCGAAACCUCUGCAAUAGGCGAAAGCCUGACAGGGUUACUCUGAGUGAUUCCCGCUAAGGGAAUCUUUUGGCAUCUCUAAAAAUGGUGCAGAAUAAGGGGUGGGCAAGUCUGGUGUCAGCCGCCGCGGUAAUACCAGCACCCCGAGUGGUCGGGACGAUUAUUGGGCCUAAAGCAUCCGUAGCCGGUCUUGCAAGUCUUCCGUUAAAUCCAGCUGCUUAACAGAUGGGCUGCGGAGGAUACUACAAGGCUAGGAGGCGGGAGAGGCAAGCGGUACUCAGUGGGUAGGGGUAAAAUCCUCUGAUCCAUUGAAGACCACCAGUGGCGAAGGCGGCUUGCCAGAACGCGCUCGACGGUGAGGGAUGAAAGCUGGGGGAGCAAACCGGAUUAGAUACCCGGGUAGUCCCAGCUGCAAACGAUGCAGACUCGGUGAUGGGCUGGCCUUGUGCCAGCCCAGUGCCGCAGGGAAGCCGUUAAGUCUGCCGCCUGGGGAGUACGGUCGCAAGACUGAAACUUAAAGGAAUUGGCGGGGGAGCAC